UUUUUUGUAGUAUAGUAAUAUAAUUACCUUCCAAGUAAGAGCCACCAUUAAGGUCCUGAAGA
rnacentral:tRNA from 1 species